CAGCAAACCUUUCCCUGCUGUGAGGUGGGCAAGUUAGUUGCUCCAAAUACAAGAUAAAGUGAUUGAGUUCUUUUCUCAAGCGGGAGUCGGAGUUUAUCCACUCUUAGAGCCCCAGCAGCUACUAUUAAUGAGUGUCUGGAAUAUGUUCCUGGCAUUUCACCUACACUCUCUCCAAUCCUUCCAAGAAACUCACAAAGCAGGGCUUUUUCUUGAACUUCUCUUCCUCACAACAGUUAAAUCAUCCAUUUAAAGAUGUCAGACAAGCUCUGUGUUCUAAGAACUGUUUACUGAGCUCUAUGGAGACAUAGCUACAAGCACCACAUGCUGGACCCCUGAAUAUGGAGGGCCAACUACACUAGAAACACACAUGCUAGCUGGGAAAGAUGCUGGCUUAAGGGUAAGCAUGGAAAGAGGCAAGGAGGUGAGGACAGCAGGAUUGAUAGAUAAGCUGGGGAGGUCAGAGCUCCACAAGGACAUCCAUUUCACUUAUCAGAAUCUAAAAAUAAACACGUUGAGGUACUAGAA
rnacentral:antisense_RNA from 1 species